ACACUGGAUUCCCCUUAGUCACGCUAUUAAGAGCUGGACACGAACGAAGCCAAACUCGCUCACUGUUUGAGAGCUGGCGUGGUAAGCUAUUUCACAUUUCUUAGUGACGGAACAAAAUUAAAUUCAAAACAGAGUGCAGUGCAAGAGGAUCUACAGAGUGCUGAACAGCUCAGAAAAUGAUCCAGGAAACAUUAUACAGUUUUACUUCAAUUCAAGUGCUGGUCACGGGUUCCUCACACUCCUUACUCAUAGCAGGCCUCUACACGGGAGCAAGGGUUUCGUUCCUGCUAGCCAGGAAAAGAUGUUAAAUUGAAGGGUCAACCACCAAUGGUGGAGAGAAUCACCUGCCAAGACCUCCAGCGAAGUCACAAAAUGCCCCGUAAAGCAGGAUUUGCAAUAAAUACCACUGUCAGACAUUUUUCUUUUUGUCUCGGACAACGCGUACGCCACACGGAGGGAUCUACGUAGCGGCUUGUGACUACAGACAAAGCUGCUGGUAUCCUGAGAUCCAAAGCAGGUGGUACUGUAGCUUCUUCUACUCUGUUCGGUCACGAUUAGACAAAAAUCAGGGGUUCGGUCGGGAUGUCGGAGGUUCGCGAGCUCCAACAAUGUUGAAACACUGUCAUUUUCGGUAACAUUUCCAUCCCGCUUCCGUCGGGGUCACGGUGGACCCCGGGCAAUGCGUACACUCCUUCACACCUAGAGUCCACCAGUCCACCUACAGUAUGUUUCUGGGAUGGUAGAGGAAACCAGAGAACCCAAAGAAAACCCAGACAGACACGGGGAGAACCUGAGAAGUGAUCCAUCCUCAGGUCGGUCGUAAUAUCUUCACUGAAUGUCUAACUGACCAGCGCGAACCCUUCAGCUGUGACAGGCAGGAUGAUGUGAUGGAACACAGACUGGGAUCUGACCUCAUACUGAGCAUGUGCAUUAGACAGGAGAUAAAAACAAGAUAUGACAGUAGAUGUGUGUGUGUGUGUGUGUGAGAGACAGAGAUAACAUUUGUUCUAUCUACAGUAUAUAAGCAGUCAUGUCCAUCACAGCGGGAGAAAAAAAGAAGGACGAACAGAUAACUUUAACGUAUCACCACGUAGUUAACACACGUCUGUAGCUGGCAUUUCAAAGAAUCUGACGAGUCAGAAACCGCUGGCUGUAAACACCGAACUCAGACACGCUAACCAGCUUCCUGAUUUGUAACAUGGCAGUAUGAAGAAGGGCUGUUAGCUGCCUUAAAAUCAAAUAUCAAUGCUUCGUCACUGACAUUUAAACUGCAUGUACUGUACACUGUGUUGUCUCAUACUGUAACACAAAUUGCCUGUGCAUUGACAAAGAUUCUUAUCUUUUACCAGUCUUUAUUUAGACAAGGGUUUGCUCAUUGUGUGUGUGUGUUUUUUUUGUACACAACAAGAUAGUGCUGGAAGCAGGAUAUUAACUUUCACUGUAUGAACACACACAGACACACACAUACAUUGUUGGACAAAUAAAAUAACAUCCGACUAAAACAAAUGUAACUAUAAGAACAUUUAUGCAGUAUACUCUAGCUCUGGUAGAUAAGGCAGCAGUGAAAGCGUCACUGUUCAGGCCAAGCGUCGCAAAUCCGGCACGUGACCCGUGAUCCGCUUUAUCCCACUCCGAUCCCAUCAUCUUUCCACACCUGGAGCUUCUCUGCUCGCUCGCUGGUCUCUAAAGUCCCAGACGAUCCAAGUCAGUCAGAAGGAGCGAUGUGAUGCCAUGCAAGAAAUUCUUGAGGAUUUAGAAAGACACUUAAGUUGAUGAACACGAAUAUAUCACGUAACAGAGGAGUUCUGAAUCUAGUAUAGUCCUCUUAAAUUUCAAGUGUCCUGGGAACUCCGAAGAUACGGUGUGCUCAUCGUCGUUUCUCAACACGCCUUACAGUUUCCGUCCUAAAUCUUGUCAGAAAAACACGGUUUGGUUUCGUGCCACCGCAAUAUGCAACUUCAAUGAAAAUGAAGUAAGUGUGAGUUUGAGCGUAGCGGGGAGGGAGAACCGUCCGUGUCGGGCUUUAGACAAGCUCAAACAAGCCUCGUGUGGAACAUAAACGAAACAGACUCAGGUGUUCUCCUGGAACUUCUAACCUACUGACAGUCCUGUUGGAGUUUGGUUCUAGAGGUUCUAGAUACUGUUUGGGGAUAUUCUACCGUAGAUCAGAUUCUAAUUCAGCUUAAGGUCCCGGGUUUCCAGUGGAGAGUUUAUGGUGAGUUCAGUGGUCUACGCCAGUGAGUGACAAGUUCAGAUCAUUUACUACAGUAUACGAUGUGUUUAUCUGUAAAAUGUAUUCAGAAACAUAGUUUACCAUUUUAAUAAAAUGAAAUUUGGUUGUUUGACAGACAUAUGUCUGUCUAUGUAUCUGUCCAUCUAUCUAUCUAUCUGUCUGUCUGUCUGUCUAUCUGUCUGUCUGUCUGUCUAUCUGUCUGUCUGUCUGUCUAUGUAUCUGUCUAUCUAUCUAUCUAUCUAUCUAUCUGUCUGUCUGUCUGUCUAUCUGUCUGUCUGUCUGUCUAUCUGUCUGUCUGUCUGUCUAUGUAUCUGUCUGUCUGUCUGUCUGUCUAUCUGUCUGUCUAUCUAUCUAUCUGUCUGUCUGUCUGUCUAUCUGUCUGUCUGUCUGUCUAUGUAUCUGUCCAUCUGUCUAUCUAUCUGUCUGUCUGUCUGUCUAUCUGUCUGUCUGUCUGUCUAUCUGUCUGUCUGACUGUCUAUGUAUUUGUCUGUCUAUCUGUCUGUCUAUCUGUCUGUCUAUCUAUCUGUCUGUCUGUCUGUCUAUCUGUCUGUCUGUCUGUCUAUGUAUCUGUCCAUCUGUCUAUC
ensembl:lncRNA